GUCGGGAUAGCUCAGCUGGUAGAGCAGAGACUGAAU
rnacentral:tRNA from 1 species